UAUGUGGCGCUCGCUGGAAGAAGUUUGGACACCCCUGCAUUACGCCUAUGUCAUGUCCCACCGAGGGUCCGGAAAGUUUACUUCAACUACCUUCAGCAAGCCUCCCUUUUCACUUUUCUGAACCAGUAUGCCUACGUCAUGCGGCAUUAAGGGAAUGUCCCGAGGGCCAUAAAUGGACGCCGGGCCGCACUUUGGACAUCCCUGCAUUAUACGGUCAUUGGACAGUUCAUUAG